AACUCUUAGCGGUGGAUCACACGGCUCAUGCAUUAAUGAAGAAUGCAGCUAGCUGCAAGAAUUAAUGGGAAUUGCAGGGCACAUUGAUCAUCCACUCUUUGAAUGCACUUGCAGCCCUGGGUUCCUCCCGGAGCUACGCCCGUCUGAACACUU
ensembl:rRNA 5_8S_rRNA 5.8S ribosomal RNA